rnacentral:rRNA from 1 species
GAUGAACGCUGGCGGCGUGCCUAAUACAUGCAAGUCGAGCGAACAGAUGAGGAGCUUGCUCCUCUGACGUUAGCGGCGGACGGGUGAGUAACACGUGGAUAACCUACCUAUAAGACUGGGAUAACUUCGGGAACCCGGAGCUAAUACCGGAUAAUAUAUUGAACCGCAUGGUUCAAUAGUGAAAGACGGUUUUGCUGUCACUUAUAGAUGGAUCCGCGCCGCAUUAGCUAGUUGGUAAGGUAACGGCUUACCAAGGCGACGAUGCGUAGCCGACCUGAGAGGGUGAUCGGCCACACUGGAACUGAGACACGGUCCAGACUCCUACGGGAGGCAGCAGUAGGGAAUCUUCCGCAAUGGGCGAAAGCCUGACGGAGCAACGCCGCGUGAGUGAUGAAGGUCUUCGGAUCGUAAAACUCUGUUAUUAGGGGAGAACAAAUGUGUAAGUAACUAUGCACGUCUUGACGGUACCUAAUCAGAAAGCCACGGCUAACUACGUG